rnacentral:rRNA from 1 species
AACGAACGCUGGCGGCAUGCCUAACACAUGCAAGUCGAACGCUCAUCUUCGGAUGGGAGUGGCGCACGGGUGAGUAACGCGUGGGAACCUGCCCUGGGGUGGGGAUAACCGAUGGAAACGUCGGCUAAUACCGCAUACGUCCUGAGGGAGAAAGAUUUAUCGCCCUGGGAGGGGCCCGCGUCGGAUUAGCUAGUUGGUGGGGUAACGGCCUACCAAGGCGAUGAUCCGUAGCUGGUCUGAGAGGAUGAUCAGCCACACUGGGACUGAGACACGGCCCAGACUCCUACGGGAGGCAGCAGUGGGGAAUAUUGGGCAAUGGGCGCAAGCCUGAUCCAGCAAUGCCGCGUGAGUGAUGAAGGCCUUAGGGUUGUAAAGCUCUUUCGGCGGGGACGAUGAUGACGGUACCCGCAGAA